ACUUUGUAUAGUUUUGAUAUACUUUAAGUAUUGAUUUUUGGAAAAUAUAAUAUUUUAGAGACAUGAUAACAAAUGUUAUCAUAGGUUUUUUAAGGCUGUUCUGGAAUGAUAUUUGUUAGGUUUUGUUUACUUCAAGGUCUGAUACAGAAACUGGAGUAAUUUUCAUUUAAUGAAUUAGAGUAUUUUAUUGUUUAUUCGUUUGCCACCCGGCUUUUGUUUUGGGUCCUUUAAAUUCGAGAUCAUUCAGUGCGCCGUUCUUUCUGUGACGAGAUCCUCUUGUAUAGUGAUCGGACGGCCGUAUAAGGGCCUGGAGCCCGGCAUGCCACGUGCUGCCGUGGCGUUCCAUAUUUUGUGUGGUGCGUUCUGUCAGUCUGACUGGCAGAAACAUGCUAAGGGUGGGAGUGCUCCUUGGAGAUCCUCGGUCUGCAGUCUGCAGGUCUCCGGUGAGCUCGCUUACAUUUUUUUGUUUAGUCUAUCACAGUGUGUGAGGGCACUCGACUAAUGUGACCAAUUUAUUUGUUUCAUAGGAGUCGGGAAGAAGUAAAGAAUUAGAGAAUUGCAGAAGUAGAUAAUUAAACAAGAACCUUUACAAUUUCGAUGUGCAAGGAAACUUCUUUGGCUUACUGGCGCAAGGUGUCUUUGGACCUUGUUUUCGUAUGGAAGGGUCAGCCCUGUCCACGUGGCGAGGGGGCGUCAGCACCGGAGUCCGGGGAGCAGCCGGCUCAUCCCUGACAAGGUGUGUCUCCUGCCCGUUUCCUGCCGGUAAUGCUGUGUAAUUCAGGUUUUUAAUUUCUGUGUAAAGUAAUUUCUGAUUUCAUUUAUUUUGAGAAUUCUGGUGCAUAACUUUAGGUAAAUUCAUAUUUAGUUUUUGUAGAAUAAAUGGUUGUAAGAAACCUUUUCCUGGACCCUCUUAAAGCGGCCCAGCUUUACCACUGAGCGUAGUUCAUAUUUUAUAUGGUGUCGAAUUUAGUAUUUCGGGAAACAUUAAAUGAAACCUUUCUGUAGGCAAGAGUUUAUUUAUAAUUAAUAAAGUUAUAAAAUGUGA